rnacentral:tRNA from 1 species
GGCCUAUUAGCUCAGUUGGUUAGAGCAUCAUGCUAACAACACGAAGGUGGCAGGUUUGAGACCUGCAUGGGCCA